rnacentral:rRNA from 1 species
AAUCUUCCGCAAUGGACGAAAUUCUGACGGAGCAACGCCGUGUGAGCGAUGAAGGUCUUUGGAUCGUAAAAACCUGUUGCUAGGGAAGAACAAGGAUCGGUCAGAUAGGGCGGUACCUUGACGGUACGUAACCAUAAAGCCACGUCAAACUACGGGCGAGCAGCGGCGGUAAUACGUAGGUGGCAGGCGUUAUCCGGAAUUAUUGGGCGUAAGGCGCGCGCAGGCGGUUUCUUAAGUCUGAUGUGAAAGCCCACGGCUCAACCGUGGAGGGGCAUUGGAAACUGGGAAGCUUGAGUGCAGAAGAGGAGGGUGGAAUUCCAUGUGUAGCGGUGAAAUGCGUAGAGAUAUGGAGGAACACCAGUGGCGAAGGCGACUCUCUGGUCUGCAACUGACGCUGAGGCGCGAAAGCGUGGGGAGCGAACA